UACAGAGGUCUCAAGCGUUGUUCGGAUUCAUUGGGCGUAAAGGGUGCGUAGGCGGCGCGGUAAGUCGGGUGUGAAAUCUCGGAGCUUAACUCCGAAACUGCAUUCGAUACUGCCGUGCUUGAGGACUGGAGAGGAGACUGGAAUUUACGGUGUAGCGGUGAAAUGCGUAGAUAUCGUAAGGAAGACCAGUGGCGAAGGCGGGUCUCUGGACAGUUCCUGACGCUGAGGCACGAAGGCCAGGGGGAGCAAACGGG
rnacentral:rRNA from 1 species